UUGCUGUGAUGACCAUCUUAGGACACCUUUGGAUUAACCGUGAAAUAAACCAUGUGCUGAGCAAC
rnacentral:snoRNA from 1 species